GACGAACGCUGGCGGCGUGCUUAACACAUGCAAGUCGAACGCUGAAGCUCAGCUUUUGUUGGGUGGAUGAGUGGCGAACGGGUGAGUAACACGUGAGUAACCUGCCUCCUUCUUUGGGAUAACGCCCGGAAACGGGUGCUAAUACUGGAUAUUCACUGGUCUUCGCAUGGGGGUUGGUGGAAAGGGUUUUUCUGGUGGGGGAUGGGCUCGCGGCCUAUCGGCUUGUUGGUGGGGUGAUGGCCUACCAAGGCUUUGACGGGUAGCCGGCCUGAGAGGGCGACCGGUCACAUUGGGACGGAGAUACGGCCCAGACUCCGACGGGAGGCAGCAGUGGGGAAUAUUGCACAAUGGGCGCAAGCCUGAUGCAGCGACGCCGCGUGAGGGAUGGAGGCCUUCGGGUUGUGAACCUCUUUCGCUCAUGGUCAAGCCGCAACAAUGGUUGUGGUGAGGGUAGUGGGUAAAGAAGCGCCGGCUAACUACGUG
rnacentral:rRNA from 1 species